rnacentral:rRNA from 1 species
AGAGUUUGAUCAUGGCUCAGAUUGAACGCUGGCGGCAUGCCUAACACAUGCAAGUCGAACGGUAACAGAGCUAGCUUGCUAGUUGCUGACGAGUGGCGGACGGGUGAGUAAUAUAUAGGGAUCUGCCUAAUAGUGGGGGACAACGUGUGGAAACGCACGCUAAUACCGCAUACGCUCUACGGAGGAAAGUGGGGGAUCUUCGGACCUCAUGCUAUUAGAUGAACCUAUAUCGGAUUAGCUAGUUGGUAAGGUAAUGGCUUACCAAGGCGACGAUCCGUAGCUGGUUUGAGAGAAUGAUCAGCCACACUGGGACUGAGACACGGCCCAGACUCCUACGGGAGGCAGCAGUGGGGAAUAUUGCACAAUGGACGAAAGUCUGAUGCAGCAAUGCCGCGUGUGUGAAGAAGGCCUUCGGGUUGUAAAGCACUUUCAGAUGUGAGGAAAAGCAGUCUAUUAAUACUAGAUUGCCGUGACGUUAACAUCAGAAGAAGGACCGGCUAACUCCGUGCCAGCAGCCGCGGUAAUACGGAGGGUCCAAGCGUUAAUCGGAAUUACUGGGCGUAAAGCGCGCGUAGGCGGAUAUUUAAGUCAGAUGUGAAAUCCCUGGGCUCAACCUAGGAACUGCAUUUGAAACUGGAUAUCUAGAGUAUGGUAGAGGUGAGUGGAAUUUCAGGUGUAGCGGUGAAAUGCGUAGAGAUCUGGAGGAACAUCAGUGGCGAAGGCGACUCACUGGGCCAUUACUGACGCUGAGGUGCGAAAGCGUGGGUAGCAAACAGGAUUAGAUACCCUGGUAGUCCACGCCCUAAACGAUGUCAACUAGGUGUGUGAGAGUCUAACUCUUGCGUAUCGAAGCUAACGCGAUAAGUUGACCGCCUGGGGAGUACGGUCGCAAGACUAAAACUCAAAUGAAUUGACGGGGGCCCGCACAAGCGGUGGAGCAUGUGGUUUAAUUUCGAAGCAACGCGAAGAACCUUACCAGGGCCUUGACAUUCUAACAGA